rnacentral:rRNA from 1 species
GAUCAUGGCUCAGAACACGCUGGCGGCAUGCCUAACACAUGCAAGUCGAACGGAUGGUUUCGGCCAUCAGUGGCGCACGGGUGAGUAACGCGUGGGAAUCUGCCCGGCAGUGGGGGAUAACCUCUGGAAACGGAGGCUAAUACCGCAUACGCCCCUUGGGGGAAAGGCUUGCUGCUGUCGGAGGAGCCCGCGUCGGAUUAGGUAGUUGGUGGGGUAACGGCCUACCAAGCCUGUGAUCCGUAGCUGGUCUGAGAGGAUGAUCAGCCACACUGGGACUGAGACACGGCCCAGACUCCUACGGGAGGCAGCAGUGGGGAAUAUUGGACAAUGGGCGCAAGCCUGACGCAGCGACGCCGCGUGGGGGGAUGAAGGUCUUCGGAUUGUAAACCCCUUUCGGGAGGGAAGAUGGAGCGAGCAAUCGUUCGGACGGUACCUCCAGAAGCAGCCACGGCCAACUUCGUG